UCCUUCUUUUUCCCUCUUUCUCCUUAUUCACUUUUUUUAAAGGGUGCGUAGGUGGGUUGGUAAGUCAGUGGUGAAAUCUCCGAGCUUAACUUGGAAACUGCCAUUGAUACUAUCAGUCUUGAAUACCGUGGAGGUCAGCGGAAUAUGUCAUGUAGCGGUGAAAUGCUUAGAUAUGACAUAGAACACCAAUUGCGAAGGCAGCUGACUACGCGAAUAUUGACACUGAUGCACGAAAGCGUGGGGAUCAAACAGG
rnacentral:rRNA from 1 species